AUUGAACGCUAGCGGGAUGCCUUACACAUGCAAGUCGAACGGAGUGGCGAACGGGUGAGUAAUGUAUCGGAACGUGCCCAGUAGCGGGGGAUAACUACGCGAAAGCGUAGCUAAUACCGCAUACUAUUGGAGCGGCCGAUAACGGAUUAGCUAGUUGGUGGGGUAACGGCUAACCAAGUCGAAGAACCGUCGCUGGUGUGAGAGGACAACCAGCCACACUGGAACUGAGACACGGCCCAGACUCCUACGGGAGGCAGCAUUGGGGAACUUUGGACAAUGGGGGAAACCCUGAUCCAGCCAUCCGGCGUGGGCGAGGAAGGCCUUCGGGUUGUAAAGCACUUUUGGCAGGAAAGCGGUACCUGCAGAAUAAGCACCGGCUAACUACGUGCAAGCAGCCGCGGUAAUUC
rnacentral:rRNA from 1 species